ensembl:lncRNA
GUAUUCCUCUGGCCUGGCAUGUCAGGUGGUUUCCUUGUGGUAUACAAGUUCUGCUCUGUUCAAGGAUCACCUUUACUGGGACUGUGCACCCAUCCGCGCUCUUGCCUCCCAUUGACCAAAUCCAGUGAGAAACCAGAGGGCAAGAGAACCCACUGAUGCGUCUAGCGGAGCAAAUGGAAGACGCUCAGCUUAAUGGCUGACUACAAGACACACACAGAAAAAUAAAUCAAGAACUAGCUCUGAGGACAGGCCCUCGGGCCUUGUGUCUCCACUGUGUUCCUGCGCCUCUGCCUCCACCAUGAGAGCACUCCCGGACAGCACGCAAGCCUAAGGGGCCAGUGGGGCAGACCUGAGAGAGAUCACACCAGGCAACCUCCUCACUGGACUCCAGGCACAUGAUCAAGUCUCGGCAAGACCAGUAGCGCCACCCAGUCUGUUCCCAACUCACUUGAGACACAUGAACAAUAGGUUAUUUUUCGUUGUUUGCUAUAUGGAA